AGUGAACGCUGGCGGCGUGCCUAAUACAUGCAAGUCGAACGAAGUGGCUCACGGGUGAGUAAUAUAUAGUUAAUCUACCUUACACAGAGGAACAACAGUUGGAAACGACUGCUAAUACCUCAUAGUGUAGGAUGAGACUAUAUCGUAUCAGCUAGUUGGUAAGGUAAUGGCUUACCAAGGCUAUGACGCGUAACUGGUCUGAGAGGAUGAUCAGUGACAUUGGAACUGAGACACAGUCGAGACUCCUACGGGAGGGAGCAGUAAGGAAUAGUGCGCAAUGGGGGAAGCGCUGACGCAGCAACGCCGCGUGGGGGAUGACAUUUUUCGGAGCGUAAACUCCUUUUAUCAGGAAAGCGGUACCUGAUGAAUAAGCCCCGGCUAACUCCGUGCCAGCAGCCGCGGUAAUAC
rnacentral:rRNA from 1 species